rnacentral:rRNA from 1 species
UACGUAGGGGGCAAGCGUUGUCCGGAAUCAUUGGGCGUAAAGAGCGUGUAGGCGGCUCGAUAAGUCUGUUCUGAAAGUCCAGGGCUCAACCCUGGGAUGCGGAUGGAUACUGUCGAGCUCGAGUCCGGAAGAGGCGAGUGGAAUUCCUGGUAUAGCGGUGAAAUGCGCAGAUAUCAGGAGGAACACCAAUGGCGAAGGCAGCUCGCUGGGACGUGACUGACGCUGAGACGCGAAAGCGUGGGGAGCAAACAGG